AUCAUCCCACAGUGAGUCAAUCCCAAGUUCAGCAGCAAAUCCUCAUUUUGACAGAAUCAGGAAGAUGUUGAGGAGGAACUCAAUCAGCUACUGAUGACUCCACUGAUUAUGGGCUUUCUCAAGCUGCCUUUAUGAAGAACAGGAAGACAAGAUGGUCGGCUCUUAUCCCUGAAGAGGAACUUGAUCCUGAUGGAAACAUCCUAAUGGA
rnacentral:lncRNA from 1 species